rnacentral:rRNA from 1 species
UACGGGGGGGGCAAGCGUUGUUCGGAAUUACUGGGCGUAAAGGGCUCGUAGGCGGCCAACUAAGUCAGACGUGAAAUCCCGGGGCUCAACCCCGGAACUGCCUUUGAUACUGGGUAUCUCGAGUCCGGAAGAGGCGAGUGGAAUUCCUGGUGUAGCGGUGAAAUGCGCAGAUAUCAGGAGGAACACCAAUGGCGAAGGCAGCUCGCUGGGACGGUACUGACGCUGAGGCGCGAAAGCGUGGGGAGCAAACAGG